rnacentral:rRNA from 1 species
GCUGGCGGCAGGCCUAACACAUGCAAGUCGAGCGCGAAAGCACUUCGGUGUGAGUAGAGCGGCGGACGGGUGAGUAACGCGUACGAAUCUACCCAGUAGUGGGGGACAACUCGGGGAAACUCGAGCUAAUACCGCAUACGCCCUACGGGGGAAAGCGGGGGACCUUCGGGCCUCGUGCUAUUGGAUGAGCGUGCGUAAGAUUAGCUUGUUGGUGAGGUAAUGGCUCACCAAGGCGACGAUCUUUAGCUGGUCUGAGAGGAUGAUCAGCCACACCGGGACUGAGACACGGCCCGGACUCCUACGGGAGGCAGCAGUGGGGAAUAUUGCGCAAUGGGCGGAAGCCUGACGCAGCCAUGCCGCGUGUGUGAAGAAGGCCUUCGGGUUGUAAAGCACUUUCAAUUGGGAGGAAAGGUUCAAGCUUAAUACGCUUGAGCUGUGACGUUACCUUUAGAAGAAGCACCGGCUAACUCCGUGCCAGCAGCCGCGGUAAUACGGAGGGUGCAAGCGUUAAUCGGAAUUACUGGGCGUAAAGCGCGCGUA